rnacentral:lncRNA from 1 species
CACACAGGGUGUGUGUCUGCGUACGAUCGCAGGAGAAGGGGAAAAAGGGGGUGUAAACCCUAAGCACAAAAAAAAUCAUCAAUUGAAAAGGAAAUCGCGGGUUGAUUGUGUGCAUGAACCAAGAAUGAUGAUCCCUUAAGCGUUUCUCACAUCAAGAACGUGUCAAGGAGAGGUCAAGCAUAGGAGGAUAACGGGUCAAGAUAAGGCAAGGUGACAAAUACACUUAUUGGAGUACUCGAGGAAGGAACAUUGGCAUGUAUGAAGGUAUGGGAUCGUUGGCUUCAUGAAGAAAUGGAGCUGGAUUUGGAUAAGAGUAUUUAAGAAAGCGCUUGGACAAUUCCACGACUACUUUAUAGAAUGCUCUACGAAAUUCUAUUAUAUAGUUUAAUGUUGUAUGGUAUGUUAAUGACUAAUGGUUUGGUUGUACGUGGUGUCCACAGGUAUCGCUUGGGUUUUCUCUACAUUUAUUGAAGUGAAGCGGACUUAGUUCGAGUUGAGAGCAAGGAUUGUACGGGGUAGAAUGGUCACAUAGUGUAACUCAUAUAGGUUUUGAAGUAUUAAUGUUAUAAAACGUUAUAAUCCGUUUUAAUGAAUAUAUGGCAUUUCGCAUUUGAACCUUCAUGUGUUUGAUAUGUCUAUUAAAGAACGAAAUUUUUGGGCUCUUGUUUUCCGCUGCGUCGUAUUUUAAGUUAUUACGCGUUAGUCUUACAGGGAAUUGUUCUUAUUACGAACGGGUCAUGCCCGAAUUUUGUUAAAUAAUAGUAUGAUAAUAUUACAUU